AGUCUCAUAAGGUAAGCAGGAAUUGCAUUAUGAUUAUUCAUUCCAUUUUUCAGGUUAGAGAACUGGAGUACAGAGUUGCCCAAGCCAGAACAGAGCAGCUCACAACCCACAAGUCCUUCUGCUGCUCUCUGCUACCAGUGACUCAUUUGAAGGCUAAAGUUACCCAGGAUCCCAUUCUGCUGAAAGUUUCCUUGGCUAAGCUAAACUGAUUAUUUCUGCUAGGAGAAUACUACCACUAUCCUAGUCCCAGCCAGCUCUGGAAUCCAGGGGAAGGGAGACUCUCCAAAAGAAAGAGUUCCCAGGGACUCAGUUCUGAGCCUGGCUGAAAAGGGGGGCUUAGUUCCUACCUCAGGAAGUGGGGUUUUCCCAGUUCAUCGCCUAACCUCACCUCCAAAAGCCUGGUAUCCACCACUUUACCUACCCUUCCCCCAGCCUGGCGUGGCCCCUCUACUCCUAACCUCAGAGAGCCAGAGGGAUAACAGGAUUCUGGUAUCCAUGGCAACACAGCCAGGUUCACAAAGCAGCAGGUCCUAUCUCUGCAGUCAGAUCAGUGUAACUGUCAGUGGCCAAGGCAAUUUCAAGUCAGACUACAAGGUUAAUUUGUCUGAAGUUUUGUCUGCACAGAAGCCCCCAGCAUGGAGAAAAGGUUACAAGGGAAUCAGACAAGAAGAGGAGACACAGGAGCCAGCUCCAAGGAGGGAGCAGGAAAGGAGGAAGAUCUGCUUGGAUGGCUGAUAGUUGGGAAACACUGGUUCUUGUGGUCAGUUCUCAGUUCAAAGGAAGUUUUGACAGCCUCUUUGGGACUUGUCAGAGCCCAGUCCAGACUGACAGUAGAGGUCUGUCCAAUAGGAGGGCAUUGUCCUGCCAGAGCCCUCUCAUGUGUCCUGAAAGAUCUACCUUCUAAUGAGCCAUCAAUGUAGAGGGACAAUGAGCCCUCUCAAUUGCCUAAGACUUGAUUAGGAGACCCUUUGCUCCGGUGCUGACCCUGCAGGGAGGCUGCCCCACUGCUCUGUAGCUGGAUCCUAUGAUGCCUUCACUAUGAUGCUUAAAAAGUAGAGUGGCCUGGUGCAGACCCCUGCCCAUGCCCAGACACCCAUAUAAUCAGAAGUUAAUCAUGAAGAAAUAACAGACAAAGCCAAAUUGAAAAACAUUCCACAAAGUAUCUGGCCUGUACUCCUCAAAAAUGUCAAAGUCAUGAAAGACAUGGAAAAACUGAGGAACUGCUCCAUAUUGAAGAGGACUAAACAGACAUCACAACUAAAUGCGAUGCAUGACCCUGGAUAAAUUCUGGACCACAAAACAAGGGUGCUUAUGAAAGACGUUUAUUGAGGGAACUGGCAUGAUUUGAAUGAGUCUGUGGAUUGAAUAGUAUCACCAUAUCAAUGUUAAUGUUCUAGAUUUUGCAUUUGUACUGAGGCUAUGCAAAAGAGUAACUUUGCUUUGGAGAAAUACACAUUGAAUUAUUUAGGACUUACUGCCCACGAUACCUGCAACUUACUUUCAGAUUAUUCAGAAAAACUGUACAAAGACUGAAACAGAGAGAGAUGGUGAUAGAAAGUGAAUAAUAAGGCAAAUAUGGUAAAAUGAUAGUAAUUAAAGAAUCUGAGAGUAUAUGUGACUCUUUUGUUCAACCCUUGUAUCUAUAAAUUUAAAAUUAUUUCAAAAUAAAAAUU